CCCGCUGCUGUGUGGGCGGGUAUGGAGCAGCGCUGUGUCACAGCGGCACACUGAGCUUGCAGAACCGCGUCCCACGUGGUGGGCCAUUUAGCGCUACAGUCUUGCCCCGCCCUUGCCAAAGCUCAGCGCUGCUUUUUCAGUGUCAGCCUUUCCCAUGGAGCGGCGUGGCCCUCUUUCCUGGAUGACGAGUGACCGUGACCCAAGGCACCUUCUCACGUACAUGGUUGUUCAUGUCUUCUGGGCAGGUCCAAGUCCUGUCGGAUCAGACACAAGACAUGAAUAUUUCCUCCCAGUGUGGCCACCUGCAAGUUUACCACAGGAUCUCAGGUCACGGCCAGAUCAAGCCUGACAGUUGCAAUGACAGACAGUGGACAUUCACCAUAGAGACCACCUUCCUGUGACGCCAGUCACCAGGUGUCUGUCCCCGUGAGCAUGGAGGUGGUGAGGAGUGGAGUCUGUAACUUGGUUGACUUUAAGUAGCCUCUUGUGGCUAUUACAUAACGACCACCACACUAAGCAGUGCCGGUUAGAAGUCUGUCUGCCUCUUCCCACAGCCUCACAGGCAUCCAGCUGUGGGCCGUGGGCCUGAGCAGGGGCUUUUAAUUUAUGCCUGUAAUGCAUCCCGAGUCAGUGUGUGCACAGUGUGCCCUAAAACUGGUGCUCUUUUGGGGUGUGGUAGCCUCCUGAACGCUGGGGAGUGCCAGCCCGGAAGCCACCUCAGGCCAUGCUCACAUCUGCCCACAUAUACAGCCCAUUCUUGAGCCCCUGGACUGAGAACAGCCCUUUUCCCCUUGACAUCACAGUUCCUGUGUGUGAUAGGCUGUCCCCAAGUGAGCAGCUCAUCGUCUGCACACCAUCUUCUUUGCUUUUCUUUCCCAAAAUAUUUCAGCUGCUGUGGGUGCUCCAUGUCUCUGUAUCAGCUUUGAAACAGUGGCUCAAUUUCUACAGAAGGAAAAGCCGUGGAGAGUUUGGACUACACAGACCAAGACCACUUGGGAUGUUCACAUCGAUGAGCCUCUGAACCUACAGAGAAGGCAUCUCCCCCACAACACUCCUAUUUAGAUACUUGUUUUCUCAGCCAGGUUUCCUAGCUCUUUACAAGUACUAAUUUCUCCCAGCAGUGUUUCAUCACUUUGGGUAUCCAGCACUUACACAUUUUCAAUUAAAUUCUUAGACACUUUAUAAUUCUUUG